GCCCUGCCUCUCUGGCGAGUCCCGCCCUCCCGGCUCCCGCGCCCGGUCCCGGCUUCUCCCGCCCGGCAGCUGGGCCGUUCGGCGCGGGGCGGGGCGUCGGGGCGUCUCCGCAGCGGUCAGACCGGCCUGGGGACUUCGGGACAAUGAGCCUUUCUGUCUGAAAGCCGGGACCCAGCGCCGCAAAGAGACUUCCCUGCGGCUGCGGGAGAGACCUGCAGAAACUCGUGCGAGCCCAGCGGGCGGGCGCCCUGGGCUUCGGGGGAGCGGCCGCCGCGUGACCGGGACUCCCCUGCGCCUCCGUCCCAGCCGCCGCCAGCACCUGCCCUGGGAAGUGUCCGUUGCGGACACUGUAGGGGCCUUCAGUGGGAGCUGUCGCCGCCUGCACCCGCGCCGCUGCGGUUCGCGGGAAGCCCCUGUGGCUUUUCGGAAGCACAACGCAGAACGUCCGACAGAGUCAUGCCGUGUUACUGAGUGAAGGGCUGAAGCGAAGUGGUCCAAUCACAGCUUACUGCGGCCUCCACCUCCUGGGCUCAAGCCAUCCCUUGGCCUCAGCCUCCUGAAUAGCUGGGACUACAGGCUCACAGCACCACGCUCAGCUAAUUUUUGUAGCUUUUGUAGAGGUGAGGUUUUGCCAUGUUUCCCAGGCUUGUCUUGAAGUCCUGGACUCAAGUGAUCCACCCACCUUGGCCUCCAAAAGUGCUGGGACUUACAGGCAUGAGCCACUGCACUGGCCUUAAUUAAAAUUUUUAUUUUGAGAUAGUUUAGAAUUACAGGAACUUGCAAGAAAUGCAUUCGGUAAUUUUAAUUCAGGUCCUAGUUUCACAGUGCCUUACGCACUGUCCGCAUGUGCAGUAUACGACGAUUGAUGAGUAGAUUGGUAAAAUAACUGUAAUUUGUGCCUUAUAAGUGGACUUUUGAGGGAAAUAUGUUCAGGAAUUACUGAGAUAGCUACUUAGGGGUUCAUUAUGAUAUGUUUGGAAAUUACCGAGAUACAUAUAUACACUUUUUUUUUUUUUUUGAGACAGAGUCUCACUCUGUCACCCAGGCUGGAGUGCAAUGGCGCAAUCUUGGCUCACUGCAACCUCUGCCUCCCAGGUACAAGUGAUUCUCCUGCCUUAGCCCCUUGAGUAGCUGGGAUUACAGGCAUGUGCCACCACACCCGGCUAAUUUUGUAUUUUUAGUAUAGAUGGGGUUUCUUCAUGUUGGUCAGGCUGGUCUCCAACUCCCAACCUCAGGUGAUCUGCCUGCCUCAGCCUCUCAAAGUGCUGGGAUUACAGGUGUGCGCCACCAUGCCUGGCUAAUUGUCGUACUUUUAGUAGAGACAGUUUCACCAUGUUGGCCAGGCUGGUCUUGAACUCCUGACCUCAGGUAAUGCCCCCACCUUGGCCUCCCAAAAUGCUGGGAUUACAGGUGUGAGCCACUAAAUGUAUGCAAAGAAAUACACAUAUAUUUCUUUACAUACAGGCCCAUGGAUA
rnacentral:lncRNA from 13 species